AAUCAUCUGCAGCCACUCUCAUUCUUCUCUUCUCCCAAAUUUAAACCCUAGCAGAGAACAUACUACCCUAGCCAGUAGCCACCAACGUGCCAGAAGCUCCUCAUUGACCAUGGCGGUUCAUGGUAGCGGCCAACAGUCCCUCACUCAUGGCGGCAACCAGCAACCCUAAGCCUUCUCCCCACACCACCAUCUUCGAUUUUUGCCCAGCUAUCACCUUUCGUUACUUCCAUCGUCAAACGUCUUCUCCGCCAUCGUUAGUGAUCUUUUCUACCAUCCUCAGUCCUUUUCUCCACAGUUUGCAGGAAAGAAGCUCUCUCUUAUUGACUCCAUCGCUGCCAGCGGCAUCGCGACAGUGCUCAUUGUCACUCCGAUGAACCCCGCAACAGCUCUUAGGCUCUACACCACCGUUACCCACCGACUCCUCCGCGAUGUCGUUAUUGCCGCCAAUAUUGCUUUCGAUAAAUAAACCGUAGAUUUAACAGAAACUGUGGUUCCCAAAGUUUCUACAAAUUCAAGAAAUUUUGAUCAAUUUUAUCGUUUAUUUAUUUAUUUUUGGCGUCAAAGCUCACUCUCACUUCUUUUAAGUUGUUGCAUUGUGGAAAUUCAGAUGUCAGUUUUGAGUUUGGGUUUCUAUCCGUGAAAAUUUUUUGGGGUUAAAGUGAUUGACAAUGUUUAAUAUCAAUUGGUAUUGGAUUUACCUUAUGUUUAAUAGUUCAAGGAUUAAUUAAUAAAUAUCUGUAUGUAUGAUCUUUGUAUUUUAACUUUUGAAGAUGUAUAUAAGAAAUUUGCUUAUGUUGAUGUUUUUGCAAUGAGUAAACAGAUGAUUGUUUCUUAGAAAUUAUUUAUUUAUUUGAUUACUGAGUUUGUGCUCAAUAGAGUUUAUUGAAACUUCAACAACCUGGAUAAGAUUUCUUUUUUUCUUUUUUUGAAAUCAAUGAUUUUAGGAGUUCGAUUGAAGAUGGUUUGAAAGGGUAAAGUACUAAGAGGUGAGCAUUUACAAACUUUGAUGUUUGGUGAAACAGGACCUACAGUUCAAGAACCUUCUCUCAUUAUGGUCCCGCACGACCAUUAAUUGAAUCUCAAACACAACUGAAGCACAAGAAGAAUCUAUGAAGACAAAGCAUCCACAGCUUCAUUAUGAAUCAAAUAUAUAUGCUUCUUCAAGAAGGGACUAGGAUUCUCCACCUAAAGUGGUUUAGAGUUGAAGGAGACUACAACAUUAUGGCUAUUGACCUUCUUGGACCAAGCUUGGAAGAUUUAUUCAAUUAUUGCAACAGGAAGUUUACACUGAAGACAGUGUUAAUGCUUGCUGAUCAAUUAAAUUGAUGAGGUAAUCAACACUUAAUUGAUGGUUUCUUGGUAAAUUUACCAAAAAUGGGUCAAGCAUUUUUCUCCAUAUUUUAGCUUGAAAUAGAGGUUGCUAUUGGCUUAUUUGUAUUACAUUUGUAGUGUGUAAAUUAAAUUAUUAGUUUUGUUAUAGGAUUGUAAUUUUUUUUAAUUAUAAUUAUAGCAUGU